GACGUAGGUGGCGAACGUUAUCCGGAAUCAUUGGGUUUAAAGGGUCCGUAGGCGGGAUAAUAAGUCAGUGGUGAAAGUCUGCAGCUCAACUGUAGAAUUGCCAUUGAUACUGUUGUUCUUGAGUGUUUAUGAAGUGGUUAGAAUAUGUAGUGUAGCGGUGAAAUGCAUAGAUAUUACAUAGAAUACCGAUUGCGAAGGCAGAUCACUAAUAAAAUACUGACGCUGAUGGACGAAAGCGUAGGUAGCGAAAGGG
rnacentral:misc_RNA from 1 species